CACACCGGGUCGUAGGAGCCGCUUCAUAGCAGGAGACAGAAAAUAGAUAUUUCAUACUUCACUUUCCCCGUCCAACACCCGUGGAAAUGUUUAACAGUCUUCUCAGGGAAUUUGACGAGGACCCUUUCUUGUCCUCGUCAAGGGAUCCAUUCCAAGCACACAAUACCCGUGUACAACAGAUGAUGCGGAGUUUCUCAGAGCCCUUCGGUCGGGACUUCAUGCCCAGUCUGACUGGCGGGCGGGACAGGGGCCACGUAUCCGGGGGCCAACUCAACACUAGCAUGGUGCCACGGGAGGAC